AUGUUGCAUUGUCCCGCUUGUGGCUGGUCAAAACAAACAAGUUACCAAGGCUUGAGAAUUCACCAAGGAAAGAAGGGUUGUACACCAAAGGGAAUGAGGAUCCCUGAAAGAGUAUAUUACGCAGUGACACACAUGAUGGAAUUGGAACAUGAACGAGAGAUCCAACAAAUGAGACAAGAACGAGAGAGAGAACGAGAGAGAGAACGAGAGAGAGAACGAGAGAGAGAACAAGAGAGACAAGAACGAGAGAGAGAACGAGAGAGAGAACGAGAGAGAGAAGAACGAGAGAGAGAACGAGAGAGAGAACGAGAGAGAGAACGAGAGAGAGAACGAGAGAGAGAACGAGAGAGAGAACGAGAGAGACAAGAACGAGAGAGAGAACGAGAGAGAGAACAAGAGAGAGAACGAGAGAGAGAACGAGAGAGACAAGAACGAGAGAGAGAACGAGAGAGACAAGAACGAGAGAGAGAACGAGAGAGAGAACGAGAGAGAGAACAAAUGAGAGCAGAACAAGAGAUUGAAGAAAUGAAAAAAAAACUAAAGAGUCAAGAACAAGAGAUGGAAGAAAUGAGAGAAAAACAAGAGAGACAAACAGAAAUGAUAAAACAAAUGAAACAAGAACAAGAGAGACAAAAACAAAAGAGACAACAAAGUGAGAGAGAAGAACCAGAGAGAGAAAAACAAGAGUUGGGACAAAUGAGAGAAGAACCAGAUAGAGAAAAAGAAGAGAUGGAACAAAUGGGAGAUGAAACAGAGAGAGAUGAACAAAAUAUGGGACGAAUGGGAGAAGAACCAGAGAGAGAAAAGGAAGAGAUGGAACACAUGAGAGAAGAACCAGAGAGAGAAAAGCAAGAGAUGGAACACAUGAGAGAAGAACCAGAGAGAGAAAAAAAAGAGUUGGGACAGAUGAGAGAAGAACCAGAGAGAGAAAAACAAGAGUUGGGACAGAUGAGAGAAGAACCAGAGAGAGAAAAAGAAGAGAUGGAACAAAUGGGAGAAGAACCAGAGAGAGAAAAAGAAGAGAUGGAACAAAUGGGAGAAGAACCAGAGAGAGAAAAAGAAGAGAUGGAACAAAUGGGAGAAGAACCAGAGAGAGAAAAAGAAGAGAUGGAACAAAUGGGAGAUGAAACAGAGAGAGAUGAACAAAAUAUGGGACGAAUGGGAGAAGAACCAGAGAGAGAAAAGGAAGAGAUGGAACACAUGAGAGAAGAACCAGAGAGAGAAAAACAAGAGUUGGGACAAAUGAGAGAAGAACCAGAUAGAGAAAAAGAAGAGAUGGAACAAAUGGGAGAUGAAACAGAGAGAGAUGAACAAAAUAUGGGACGAAUGGGAGAAGAACCAGAGAGAGAAAAGGAAGAGAUGGAACACAUGAGAGAAGAACCAGAGAGAGAAAAAAAAGAGUUGGGACAGAUGAGAGAAGAACCAGAGAGAGAAAAACAAGAGUUGGGACAGAUGAGAGAAGAACCAGAGAGAGAAAAAGAAGAGAUGGAACAAAUGGGAGAAGAACCAGAGAGAGAAAAAGAAGAGAUGGAACAAAUGGGAGAAGAACCAGAGAGAGAAAAAGAAGAGAUGGAACAAAUGGGAGAAGAACCAGAGAGAGAAAAAGAAGAGAUGGAACAAAUGGGAGAAGAACCAGAGAGAGAAAAAGAAGAGAUGGAACAAAUGGGAGAAGAACCAGAGAGAGAAAAAGAAGAGAUGGAACAAAUGGGAGAAGAACCAGAGAGAGAAAAAGAAGAGAUGGAACAAAUGGGAGAAGAACCAGAGAGAGAAAAAGAAGAGAUGGAACAAAUGGGAGAUGAAACAGAGAGAGAUGAACAAAAUAUGGGACGAAUGGGAGAAGAACCAGAGAGAGAAAAGCAAGAGAUGGAACACAUGAGAGAAGAACCAGAGAGAGAAAAGCAAGAGAUGGAACACAUGAGAGAAGAACCAGAUAGAGAAAAACAAGAGUUGGGACAGAUGAGAGAAGAACCAGAGAGAGAAAAAGAAGAGAUGGAACAAAUGGGAGAAGAACCAGAGAGAGAAAAAGAAGAGAUGGAACAAAUGGGAGAAGAACCAGAGAGAGAAAAAGAAGAGAUGGAACAAAUGGGAGAAGAACCAGAGAGAGAAAAAGAAGAGAUGGAACAAAUGGGAGAAGAACCAGAGAGAGAAAAAGAAGAGAUGGAACAAAUGGGAGAAGAACCAGAUAGAGGAAAAACAAGAGUUGGGACAAAUGGGAGAAGAACCAGAUAGAGAAAAACAAGAGUUGGGACAAAUGAGAGAAGAACCAGAGCGAGAAAAACAAGAGAUGGAACACAUGAGAGAAGAACCAGAGAGAGAAAAACAAGAGUUGGGACAAAUGGGAGAUGAAACAGAGAGAGAAGAAUGAGAGAGUCAACCGUCUUGUUCUCUCUUCUAGUCACUUGGAGGUGUUGGGUCUGUGUUUCCACAAGCCCCGCUGGUUCUGAAACUUAUUCUCGUUAAUGACAAAAACAAGACGGAUAUCUUUUACUUGCUAGCAAGGGAGGCCCCAGCCGGUGUCUCAGACCGCAAAAUGACCUCAACGACGGCCUCCGCUUGCUGCCUUUUAUUGGGAAAACAGUUCACACAAUACACAUCACAGCAAAGCACCUCCCACGUAAACCCCCCCAAAUGGUUCUAAGACAAGGCACUAUGUGUGUGCAUGUGUAAACAUCCUACUGCUGACCAAAAGGGUCAUAAAAGCAGGAAGCAACAUCACAAGAAACAAAUUUUCCAGAGAGGAUGUUUCUGCAAUAAAAGCUUCUCCAGCCAGUGGUCAGAGACAAAGGAAUGUCUUGAUCCUAUAGAUUAAACUCAGACCUUACAAAUUUAAGAAGCAUAAUGACAACAUUCAACAAUUAGACUUAACAGGAGGCAGGACAACUUCUUGCUGGAAUUAAGUGGGUUCAUUGGAAGGUUUGAUUGAAAUUGUUUUGUCUUUCAUUACACGCUGCCUAUGUGAAAUACCAAUCAGGUAAAACUCGAUAAUCUUCCACGCCACACUUAUGUGGUUGGGAAACACUGACUUAAACUAUCUCACUGGUGCUUUUAAAGAAUUGAAAUUGUCUAUAUAGCAAUCAAUCAGGAUUUGGCUUACAGGAUGUUUAACUCCACAGAUCCUUCUUGUUACUCCACACGUCUGUUAAAAAAAUUGUCUUAAUGGGUAGUUUAGAUACUAUAAACUGAGGCUGACUUCCUUCUAUGUGUGCUAUUUGUGGUUUCUACUCUUCUACAUAAGUCACUUAAAGUAUUGUAAUUAGAGUCUAUGACCAAUAUUUUUAUGUAGAUAUACACAAAAGAAAAUCUAAAAAACUACCAUUUAGGGAAUAUUUGUUCCAUAUAUUUUCACGGUGUUGGUAAUGAUAAAACAAUAAAAUAUCUUUAAAAUCUUAUUUGUUUUGUUUUGUUUUUUAAUUUUAAUAAAUCCACACCUUAAUGAACGCAACUGUACAUUGACUCCUUUUCUCUUCCUUCAGCCCUAGGAGCAACAAAUCUAGCUUCAUGCCUAUUUUUUUAAUGUACGACUAAACUACCUUUUUUUUUUUUUUGCCUGUCCCGUUUGGUUCUUUUGCCAUCAGAAUUAUUGUCUAAAGGUGAAGAAAGAUGCCCAAUGGAUUUACUUUACCAAAUACAGCCUUGCCGUAAUGGUCUAUUUGAUUCACCUUUUAUUGUUUAUUUUAUCUUUAUUUUCAUUUGCUAGAUACGGGACAGACUUGAAUGAGGAAAAGAAAGGGAGAAAGAAAGAGGGAAAGAAAAUGAACAGCGGAGAAGAGGGACGGGGAUAAAGGGCAAAAAAACAAAAACCAACAAAAUAAGCAGACAAAAAAUACAUAUAUCAAUCACCUGGAUCACCUGUUGAGAAAGAAAAAAGAAAACAAGCAGAAGAAGACGAGAGCAAUAGAAUAAACAACAUCAUGAUGAUCUAUGGGAAUAUAACAGUAAAUACUAAAUGUUAAACAUUAUUGUGCAGCACGUAAGAUCGACAGCGCACAGUGUGCUUUAAGGUAGGAGCCAAAAAGGGUGUAGUUUGUGUGUGUGAUCACCCGUGUGUACACCUGUGAGCAUGGACGCGCUUGUUUUUAAAAGGUUCCUUCAUGUAAUGAUCUGCUAGAGGGUGUGGGGGGCCACUGCCCCGUCCUCCAGGGCAUGAAGCAGGUAUGGAGGAGAUCAAAACUUCAGACAUCCAGAGGCCCUCAGAACACAAGAGACCAAGGAAGACCAACAGAGGGGCAGCCGCGCCACUAUCCCAGAAAGACCUGAGGAGAGUCCCAGAUGAGGGGUCACUCAGCAGCCGCGGCGCAUAAGCCAGGGGGGGUUGCAGUGACGUACCCGGGAGCUCCGCCGGCAGCCAGCUGCGCCAGAGUGACCGAGCCCCAGGCCGAGAGGCCGAGGGCACCCCACCCCCAAAGUGGCCUGAGCGAGCCCCAGGUUCCAGGCCCCGAUAAGCAGCCACCAAGGAGUGAGCCGGUGUGUACCUGGACGCCCAUCCCUGGACACAAAGACCCACCAACGCACCGAUGCCUGAGAGCGUCUGCCACUGGCAGGGGAAGUGGUGGGGGGAGAUAGGCCUCCAUACUUUGGAGGGCCUGAGAUGUCCCCAGAGAGGUGGUGUCUGAUACCCAACCUGACAUAUGGACACAGACAUACAGGUUCACACAGAUACAAACAUCCAUUCCCACCCUCAUGCUCUCAUAAGCAAUUACUCAACACUCACUCAACGUGGUGACAGACAUAAAGAGACACUGUACACAGAAUCACACUCCCCAAGCGUACUUUAAGCUAAGUACUAGGUACCCUUGCCCCUGGAGGGGGAAACUGCACCCAGACGAUCGGUGAUGGCCAAAAGAGGAAACCCAACACGAUAACAGACUAUAACCACAUGAAGGUAUGUGAAUGUGUGUACAAUUUUAC
rnacentral:lncRNA from 1 species